rnacentral:rRNA from 1 species
GACGAACGCUGGCGGCGUGCCUAAUACAUGCAAGUCGAGCGAGCGGAACCAACAGAUUUACUUCGGUAAUGACGUUGGGAAAGCGAGCGGCGGAUGGGUGAGUAACACGUGGGGAACCUGCCCCUAAGUCUGGGAUACCAUUUGGAAACAGGUGCUAAUACCGGAUAAUAAAGCAGAUCGCAUGAUCAGCUUUUGAAAGGCGGCGUAAGCUGUCGCUAAGGGAUGGCCCCGCGGUGCAUUAGCUAGUUGGUAAGGUAACGGCUUACCAAGGCGACGAUGCAUAGCCGAGUUGAGAGACUGAUCGGCCACAUUGGGACUGAGACACGGCCCAAACUCCUACGGGAGGCAGCAGUAGGGAAUCUUCCACAAUGGACGCAAGUCUGAUGGAGCAACGCCGCGUGAGUGAAGACGGUCCUCUGGAUUGUAAACCUCUGUCUUCGGGGACGAAACGAGACGGUACCCGAGGAGGAAGCCACGGCUAACUACGUGCCAGCAGCCG